rnacentral:rRNA from 1 species
AUUGAACGCUGGCGGCAGGCCUAACACAUGCAAGUCGAACGAGUGGCGGACGGGUGAGUAAUGUCUGGGAAACUGCCUGAUGGAGGGGGAUAACUACUGGAAACGGUAGCUAAUACCGCAUACCAUCAGAUGUGCCCCGAUGGGCUUAGCUUGUUGGUGGGGUAGAGGCGCACCAAGGCGACGAUCCCUAGCUGGUCUGAGAGGAUGACCAGCCAAACGGGAACUGAGACACGGGCCAGACGCCUAGGGGAGGCAGCAGGGGGGAAUAUGGCACAAUGGGCGCAAGCCUGAUGGAGCCAUGCCGCGUGUAUGAAGAAGGGCUUCGGGUUGUAAAGUUCUUUCAGCGGGGAGGCGUUACCCGCAGAAGAAGCACCGGCUAACUCCGUGCCAGCAGCCGCGGUAAUUC